rnacentral:lncRNA from 1 species
UUCAAACUCCAUGGAAGCUUGACUUUCAAACUUCCACAACUUUCUCUCUCUAGCUCCAAUUUUCAUGCUUUUGGUGCACCCUUCCAUAAACCCUUGUGCUAUUUCAUCUUUUCACUUCAAAAACCUUGAAAUAUCUUGUUUUCAUACUUUCUCUCACUAGUUGGGCAUUCUAGAGAGAGAAAGAGAGAAUCACUCUAUUGAUUUGGAAGCUAUUGGAAGAGAAUCCAACUACAAAAGAACCCUAGGGUGAGUGAUGCACCAAGUUUGAUUUUAGCUGCAGAAAAUGGCUAGUAAUUGUGAUUUAUGAGCUGUUUUAUUGUUUAGUAUGUUCAUUACUUUUUAGUGAUUAAGAUAGUGAACAUAGAUAGCCAUUUAAAGUGGCAAUUGAAAACUAGCUAAGAGAUAGCUUUUAGAGUUCAUAGUGUGUAAAGUAAUCUAUUGUUUAUGUUAAUGUGAUCCUAGGUUUUUAAGGAAGCACCAUCAUUCCAAUUGGAUCAUUAGGGGAAUUUGAGUCAACUAAAGGUUCU